rnacentral:misc_RNA from 1 species
UAGGGCCCUACACAAAAC